rnacentral:rRNA from 1 species
GAAUUCGCCCUUAGAGUUUGAUCCUGGCUCAGGAUGAACGCUAGCGGCGCGCUUAACGCAUGCAAGUCGAGCGAUGAGGCUCCCUUCGGGGAGUACAUCAGCGGCAGACGGGUGAGUAACACGUAGAUAACCUGCCCUCAAGACGGGGACAACCGGUGGAAACAGCGGCUAAUACCCGAUAUGCUCACAGGAUCGGGAGGUCGAGUGAGGAAAGGCUUCGGUGCUUGAGGAGGGAUCUGCGGCCCAUCAGCUAGUUGGUGAGGUAACGGCUCACCAAGGCGAAGACGGGUAGGGGGUGUGAGAGCAUGGCCCCCCACAAUGGGACUGAGACACGGCCCAUACUCCUACGGGAGGCAGCAGCGGGGAAUAUUGCGCAAUGGACGGAAGUCAGACGCAGCGACGCCGCGUGGGUGAGGAAGGCCUUCGGGUUGUAAAGCCCUUUUCAGGGGAGCGAGAAAGGACGGUACCCUUGGAAUAAGCGUCGGCUAACUACGUGCCAGCAGCCGCGGUAAGACGUAGGACGCAAGCGUUAUCCGGAUUUACUGGGCGUAAAGCGCCUGUAGGCGGUCAAGUAAGUCGGAUGUGAAAGCCCCGUGCUCAACGCGGGGAAGCCAUUCGAUACUGCGUGACUAGAGAACGGCAGAGGGAAACGGAAUUUCUGGUGUAGCGGUAAAAUGCGCAGAGAUCAGAAAGAACACCGAUGGCGAAGCAGUUUCCUAGGCCGCAUCUGACGCUGAGAGGCGAAAGCUAGGGGAGCAAACAGGAUUAGAGACCCUGGUAGUCCUAGCUGUAAACGAUGGAUGCUAGGUGUGGG